GUGCCAGCAGCCGCGGUAAUACGUAGGUGGCAAGCGUUGUCCGGAUUUACUGGGCGUAAAGGGCGUGCAGGCGGUCUGUUAAGUUCAGGGUGAAAGCUCCCGGCUCAACUGGGAGAGGUCCUUGGAUACUGGCAGACUUGAGGGAGGUAGAGGAGAGUGGAAUUCCCGGUGUAGUGGUGAUAUGCGUAGAUAUCGGGAGGAACACCAGUGGCGAAGGCGGCUCUCUGGGCCUUUCCUGACGCUGAGACGCGAAAGCGUGGGGAGCGAACCGGAUUAGAUACCCGGGUAGUCC
rnacentral:rRNA from 1 species